UACAGAGGUCUCGAGCGUUAGGCGGAAUCACUGGGCUUAAAGCGUGUGUAGGCGGAUCGUUAAGUGCCUUGUGAAAUCCCACGGCUCAACCGUGGAACUGCUUGGCAUACUGGCGGUCUUGAGCAACCUAGGGGCGAGCGGAACAAAUGGUGGAGCGGGUGAAAUGCGUAGAUAUCAUUUGGAACGCCAAUGGUGAAAACAGCUCGCUGGGGGGUUUGCUGGAACGCUGAGACGACGAAAGCCAGGGGAGCAAACGGGAUUAAGAAACC
rnacentral:rRNA from 1 species